ACCUUUAAAACAGAUCAUUGGUCGUUCGAUCAUCACACAAUCCGACGGUUGAACUUAUAGUAAAGCAUAAAGGUUAUCAAAACCUUUGGCGGGCUAGACACUUCUUCGUUCCCCCCAAAUCACACACCAGUUGCCUCCCCAGAUCCUCGAUUGACGCCGCCUCCUCUCCGCCAGUCGCCGGACCACCUCCUCAGCAACGCCGAACCACUAGAUAUUUAUGUGCGGGUGGUGGUUGUGCCUGGAUCUUUAUUUGCGGCGCCCUUUUCAUACUAAUGCGUCUUCUUGCCUUGAUAGUUUACUGGAGGCAAAAGCCAAGCAAGGGAUUCAGAUUUAUAUCCUGAUGUACAAAGAGCUUGCUCUUGCUCUGAAAAUUAAUAGUUUUUAUAGUAAGAAAAAGCUUGCUGCACUUCACGAGAACAUAAGAGUUCUACGUCAUCCGGAUCAUUUCUCUAGUGGUGUCUAUCUAUGGUCUCAUCAUGAGAAACUGGUCAGCCCAGCAGGCGGCCUCGCGUUCCAUUUUCUUUUAAAAAAUCAAAAUAUGAACCUCUAGUUUCCGACAUGCCAAUGAGAGGGUUAGUUGAUUAGCAAGGGAGCUCGAAUGUAACAACCGUGCACCCUACCAUGAAGUCGUGUUGGUCCUCGUGUCGCAUGUCGUUGCCAGGUCAACUUUAUUAGAUCCCUAACAUAUAUACAUUAAUAUUUGUAUACCAUUGAUAUGUUUUAAAAUAUUAAAACAAUCCUGACCCAGAAGCUAUUAAAUGGGUCACUUUAACCCUUUUAAAAACUUUGAAAGAUGUUUUUAAUGGUUAGGAAAUGCUAUAUCUGUUGUUUACAUUCGAGUUGGGAGGUAAUAUGGACAUUUCGUGCUGUUUUUCAGAUAAAGUUGGACAGUGUGUUACUUUAGGGUUUGAAUUUGUUUAGAAGAUGAAGCAUUAGUGAUGUACAUAGGUCAGUCAAUAUGUGGAGUUAGGUUCCUUCCCUUUCUUUUAUGCUGAAAAUGACAAAGAACAGGGUAUUCAUAGUAAAAACUAGUAAUUUGUAACACCCAGCACUUGUAUCAACAUACAUUGUCAGCUUUGCAGACUGGCAACCAAUCUUUGUUUUUGGGCGCUCAAAUGGAAGCCUGUCAACUUAAGGUCCUGCUGAUUGCUAAGUUUGUAAUAGGUACACUCAACUUAAGAACACGUGCUAAUGAAGUUAUUGUAUGUUUAGCAUGAACCAGGAAGCACUUCUUUGCUUGUGUAGUAUAAUGCAUGAGCUUCUUUUGAACAAGGUCAAGACCAUAGUUAUUAAAGGUACUAGGCGCACUCAAGGCGCAUAGGCCUUGCCUGGCGCCUAGGCGCAAAGCGCAAAAAAAGCGAGGGCUUGAGAAAAAUAAAGCGCAUAAUGAAAAAAAUUAAAAAUAUAAUAUGUAUUAGAAAAAGAAUGCUAUUCUUCAAAUAAAAUAAACAAAGUCUAUUAUGUAACACUUUAUAUCAUCUAAUUAGUACCAAAAUAUUAGUGUAUUAGUGUAGAAAACUAGUUUUCCGUGAUUAAAAGUAGAAAUUUGGCUAGAAUCUUGUCGGAAUUUAGCCGGAGACUCUCCAGAAUCUAGGAAUCUUGUCGGAAUGUGCGCCUGAACCAUCACUUGGAGAGUUAAAAUGCAAUUUCCUCGACUUAAAGCGCAACUGCCUCGCCUCGCCUAGAAAAUGGGCCUAGGCGCAAGAAGCGAUGGCUUUUAACAACUAUGGUCAAGACAUUGAACAGGUCAUUUGUUCUUACAAACUGAUAUGCAGGUUAGAACAUGUGGUUCUGUUGCUAACAAGGAAAUUCUGUAGCAAUAUUGCUCGAGUAUAACCUCAUUGCUAGUACUAUGCUAUGUUGUCAAAAGCGCAAAAAGCGCGCGCCUAGGCGCCCGGGCGCAGCGAGGCGCACCUAUAGCGCCUGGUGGUAGCCUAGGCGCAAAAAUGGUUUUUUUUGAAAAAAACGCUGCUGAGGUGCAAAAAGGCGCGCGCCUAGGCGCAAAAACGGUGCUGAGGCGCAGUGGAUAAGCAGGAAAACUGAAAAAAAUGAAACCGAGUGCCGAGGCAUAUAUAUUAGUUUUUUUAGUUUUAUAUGUGGAAUCUUAUUUAUUUUCAAAGAUAACAUAUUUUUUAUAUUUUUUUUCUCUAUCUGUGCUUUUCUUAAAAAAGCCCACGCUUUUUUUGCGCCUUGCACCUAGGCUCCGGGCGAGGCCGAUGCGCCUCGCCUGCGCCUUGCGUCUUUGACAACAUAGGUACUAUGUUACUAACCUACCUUAUGUUGUUUUUUUCAAAAUGCUCCCUACUAUCAGGCCUCGUUUAGUGGAUAUAUGCGAGUAUAUGGGGAUCCAACCUUACGGAAUAGACACACACUUGCGAUACAUGCUGCACAAAAUAUUACAAUGGUGUCUUUUUUGUAUUCAUUAAAAUAGUUGCUAAAAUGUUGGUACAUCAAUACUUAAUAGGUGAAUUUUUGCCUUCAUCAUAAAGCAAUCUUAUUUUGCCCUAUGUAACUGAAAUUUUAAGUAUGUUCUUUUUUUUUUAAUAUACUUUCAUAAUGCAUUGUUAGGGAGAGACAGAGUCCGAAUUUUUAAAUAUUGAGUUAUUUUAUGAUGCUGACUUAAAAAGCCUGAGACGCAGUAUGUAUGUGCAUACAUACUACAUCUUAAUCUCAUCCGAAUUUUAGGAAACUUCGGCAAAUAGCGGCUGAACCAGAAGCACACGGUUGGCCCUUUAUCUGCUCACUUAGUCAUUGCUCCGUAAUUUGGUUAUUACACAUGCUAAGAAGGAACUUGGUCUUGCAUUCAAGGGUAGUCAAAAGAUGGUGACUGAAGCACCAGAGGGAUCAGGAUAAGAAAGUGUGAUGUUUGGACUUGACAUCUCUACUCGCACUUCCUGUCGAUUAGUUGCCAAGGGGGCCUUGGAGCGUGUUUUCAAAGCAACACAUGAGUAGCUUGUCGCCUACAAGGAUCAAGUAGGAUGUGUUAUUUUUGUAUUUUGUUCGUCCAAUGAGUCUUUUUUAGCUUUUUGUGCCCUCAUUUGGCAGUUAAUUAUAUGAAUAAAUCAAGUAUUUGACACUUGUUCAUUGGAACUUGAAUUAUCUAUGAAUUUUGAUGUAUGGUGAAUUUAAAACAGUUUUUUGUGUGAUUU